AUUGAACGCUGGCGGCAUGCCUUACACAUGCAAGUCGAACGGCAGCACGGGGCAACCUGGUGGCGAGUGGCGAACGGGUGAGUAAUGCAUCGGAACGUACCUUUCAGUGGGGGAUAACGUAGCGAAAGUUACGCUAAUACCGCAUAUUCUGUGAGCAGGAAAGCAGGGGAUCGCAAGACCUUGCGCUUAUUGAGCGGCCGAUGUCAGAUUAGCUAGUUGGUGAGGUAAAGGCUCACCAAGGCGACGAUCUGUAGCGGGUCUGCGAGGAUGAUCCGCCACACUGGAACUGAGACACGGUCCAGACUCCUACGGGAGGCAGCAGUGGGGAAUUUUGGACAAUGGGGGCAACCCUGAUCCAGCCAUGCCGCGUGAGUGAAGAAGGCCUUCGGGUUGUAAAGCUCUUUCGGCCGGGAAGAAAUCGCACGGGCUAAUACCCUGUGUGGAUGACGGUACCGGAAUAAGAAGCACCGGCUAACUACGUGCCAGCCGCCGCGGUAA
rnacentral:rRNA from 1 species